rnacentral:rRNA from 1 species
AUUGAACGCUGGCGGCAGGCUUAACACAUGCAAGUCGAGCGGGGGAAGGUAGCUUGCUACCGGACCUAGCGGCGGACGGGUGAGUAAUGCUUAGGAAUCUGCCUAUUAGUGGGGGACAACAUCUCGAAAGGGAUGCUAAUACCGCAUACGUCCUACGGGAGAAAGCAGGGGAUCUUCGGACCUUGCGCUAAUAGAUGAGCCUAAGGGGGAUUAGCUAGUUGGUGGGGUAAAGGCCUACCAAGGCGACGAUCUGUAGCGGGUCUGAGAGGAUGAUCCGCCACACUGGGACUGAGACACGGCCCAGACUCCUACGGGAGGCAGCAGUGGGGAAUAUUGGACAAUGGGGGGAACCCUGAUCCAGCCAUGCCGCGUGUGUGAAGAAGGCCUUAUGGUUGUAAAGCACUUUAAGCGAGGAGGAGGCUACUCUAGUUAAUACCUAGGGAUAGUGGACGUUACUCGCAGAAUAAGCACCGGCUAACUCUGUGCCAGCAGCCGCCGCGG